CUUUCUCUUUGCAAACCUCAAGAUAGGACGUAAUGUGCCAAGCAAGUUCUUCCAAAAAUCUUGCAGAGAACAAGCUGGCAACUUUUCCAGUAAUUUGUGGUUGUGAAAGAUGAAUAGUAGACAUUUCAGGAAAGGGAAGUGUCCUGGGGCAAUGCGUUAUAUAGAUAUUCACUUCUGGACUGGAAAUCUCAUUCUUGAGAUUUCACUGACCAGCAACACUCCAGUGAAACUGCAGUCAAAAUUUAUGGAGUCUGCAGUAAAUAUGAAGCUAAAGUAACAGGGGACGUAUUCUUGGUAAACUUGGAAAGAGAUGUGACUCAGUGCACCAAGAAAAAGGACUGAGACCUGAGAAACUUGGCAAAGCAUUUCCUCAGGUUUGGCUGAAUUUGAAGUGAAAUACUCAUGUCAUUCCGGAGACCUCCACAGGAGUAAUUUCCCCCAUCCCAAACACGAGCUUAUAGCACAUUUUUAUGCCUUCUUUGGCAGAGAAGGAAGAAGGAUAGACAAAAGCAAAGUUUUUGGCUUUUUCUGCAUGGCAUGAGGAAUGGGAACAGUCUUCAAUCAUAAAUCGGGAGGAAGAGUUUCAGUCAACCUCUUGAAUUUUGCACAUCAUUUGUAAAAUAGGUUGGGUAGAGGGUGGUGAUUGGCCCACACAAUUUUUAGGUUUACUUAUAAAAUCCUUAUUAAAGUCAUACCUCCAAA
rnacentral:lncRNA from 1 species